rnacentral:rRNA from 1 species
GGCGAACGCUGGCGGCAGGCCUAACACAUGCAAGUCGAACGAAGUCUUCGGACUUAGUGGCGGACGGGUGAGUAACACGUGGGAACGUGCCUUUAGGUUCGGAAUAACUCAGGGAAGCUUGUGCUAAUACCGAAUGUGCCCUUCGGGGGAAAGAUUUAUCGCCUUUAGAGCGGCCCGCGUCUGAUUAGCUAGUUGGUGAGGUAAAGGCUCACCAAGGCUACGACCAGUAGCUGGUCUGAGAGGAUGAUCAGCCACAUUGGGACUGAGACACGGCCCAAACUCCUACGGGAGGCAGCAGUGGGGAAUCUUGCGCAAUGGGCGAAAGCCUGACGCAGCCAUGCCGCGUGAAUGAUGAAGGUCUUAGGAUUGUAAAAUUCUUUCACCGGGGACGAUAAUGACGGUACCCGGAGAAGAAGCCCCGGCUAACUUCGUGCCAGCCGCCGCGGUAACAC